rnacentral:rRNA from 1 species
GUAAGGAAUAUUGGACAAUGGACGCAAGUCUGAUCCAGCCAUGCCGCGUGAAGGAUUAAGGUCCUCUGGAUUGUAAACUUCUUUUAUAAGGGACGAAAAAAGGCUUUUCUAAGUCGUCUGACGGUACCUUAUGAAUAAGCACUGGCUAACUCCGUGCCAGCAGCCGCGGUAAUACGGAGGGUGCAAGCGUUAUCCGGAUUCACUGGGGUUAAAGGGUGCGUAGGCGGGCAGGUAAGUCAGUGGUGAAAUCCUAGAGCUUAACUCUAGAACUGCCAUUGAUACUAUCUGUCUUGAAUAUUGUGGAGGUAAGCGGAAUAUGUCAUGUAGCGGUGAAAUGCUUAGAUAUGACAUAGAACACCUAUUGCGAAGGCAGCUUACUACGCAUAUAUUGACGCUGAGGCACGAAAGCGUGGGGAUCAAACAGGAUUAGAAACCCUAGUAGUCC